rnacentral:lncRNA from 12 species
CUCUUGGGUUCUGCAAUACUUGAUUCUGUUUAACCUCUUUGAUACAAAUAGAAAGCAUUCACAGGCUUGCUGGGGACAGCAGCUUGAAGGACACAGAGAGACUUUGGCACAGAUGGAUGGAUAACAUCAUAAUGAUAGGGCUAAGCCUAGCUUUUACAAAAUGGGAAACUGAAAGAUCCCAUGAUGCCUGUCCACCUCAUCCUUCAACCUCCUACAACCUACAUAAAAUAGGCUGGGAUCAAGCUAAGCAUUGAGGGAUAUAAAGAAAAUUACUUUGUUCUCUGAGUUCUGUUCCCUCAUCUACAAAACCUGAAAAAAAAUACCUGCCUCAUAUGGAUAUUCAAAGAAUUAAUAAAAUAAAGGCAUGAAAAUAUCCUAGUGUUAUGCUUGCACAUGGAGAGGUGGCCAGCUUUCACUCACCUCUCUCACCUCAAAACAGAGCCCUUAUUUAGAAAGAGAAAGAACAAAGCUUGCUAUCUAUUCAGAGCAAGUCUCUGGUACUUCUCAGAAAAUGAAUUUGAGGAGAAAAACAAUGUGACAUAUGGAUCAAAAGCAGAAAAUAAAGCAAAAGUAGAAGAAAAUACGCCAGAUGAUAUCAUGAACCUGGAGCAGGAUACAAGAGCCACACUGAAAGGAGUGGGACAGACUAUCCAAACAAUGAAGAGAGAACAGCAAAAAUGAAACUCAAUGCUUCACCAACAAUUCCUUAAAAACAAACUAAAAAACUUUAUUGGGAAAGCUGAGUUACAACUAAAAGUGUACAAAGGGAUUUAAAAUAAAUUGGAGUUUGAAAAAAAUUAUAAUCUAUUU